rnacentral:rRNA from 1 species
GACAGAGGUUGCAAACGUUGUUCGGAAUUACUGGGCCUAAAGCGCCCGUAGGCGGUCCGUUAAGUCAUGUGUGAAAUCCCCCGGCUCAACCGGGGAAUUGCGCCUGAUACUGGCGGGCUAGAGGUCGAUAGGGGUGAGCGGAACUCCAGGUGGAGCGGUGAAAUGCGUAGAUAUCUGGAGGAACACCGGUGGCGAAAGCGGCUCACUGGAUCGAAACUGACGCUGAGGUGCGAAAGCUAGGGGAGCAAACGGG